GCCAGGUGUGGUGGCGCACACCUGUAAUCCCAGUGGCUCAGGAGGCUGAGAAAGGAGGAUUGCAAGUUCAAAGCAAUUUAGCAAGGCCCUAAGCAACUCAGCGAGACCCUGUCUCUA
rnacentral:sRNA from 1 species